CCGUAGCUCAGUUGGUAGAGCACUCGACUAGACAUCGAGAGGUCGUGGGUUCGAGUCCCACCGUCG
rnacentral:ncRNA from 12 species